AAUCAACGCUGGCGGCGUGCCUCAGACAUGCAAGUCGGACGCGAAAUUUCCCUUCGGGGAGAAAGUAGAGUGGCGCACGGGUGAGUAACACGUAGGUAAUUUGCCUUUGGGUGGGGAAUAACUCAGGGAAACUUGAGCUAAUACCGCAUAAUGCAGCGGCUCGACAUCGAGACAGUUGUUAAAGCGGGGGAGUUGGAGCAAUCCGACCUCGCGCCUAAAGAGAAGCCUGCGGCAGAUUAGCUAGUUGGUAAGGUAAUAGGCUUACCAAGGCGACGAUCUGUAACCGGCCUGAGAGGGCGGUCGGUCACACUGACACUGACAUACGGGUCAGACUCCUACGGGAGGCAGC
rnacentral:rRNA from 1 species